CCUCCACCGCGUCCCGACCUCGGCCCCUGCCCCUUCUCGCACCUUGUGGCCUGCUCCCUCACAUACGCUCCCUCACUUCGGAGACCGGCUCCAAAGUUGAGCCAGCUGCCAUCUGGCGACUGUUAAUUUAAUUUUAUUGUUGUUGUUUUGAGCGGCUGGUGCCGCAGUCCGGUCGCCCCAUCUACGUGUGUGGGGGUGACACUUCCCCCUCCUCCACUCCUCGUGUUUCUCUGGCGGGUGUAUGUGUUUGUGCUGUUCCUGCCCGAAGGAAGGGGAACACCUCAGGGCCCCUGUGCCAAGGUCGGGAAGAGGCAAGUUUUACACUCUUUGAGCGCCGAGGGUGUAGUGAGGCGCCGCGAAGAGCUUGCAGAGUCACUCCCAGGGCUUGUCACACGCACACAGUCCUCGGGCCGUGAGUGUGUCUCCACCGUACCCACACAACUGUGGGGAGACGCUACCGUACAGCCGUGUGCCCCAGGACCCCGAUGUGCCACCCUGCAUCUGCUGCCCUGCAUGCCUCUGAUCUCUUCCCUGCUGCGGCCUGGCGCGGCCAGCCCUAGGCCAGCCGUGACUCACAGUGGGCAGAGGGCUGGGGCUGGCAGCCCUGCCAGCCCCGGCACCACCCCGCCGCUGCGCGCUGAAGGCGGGGGCAGGGCAGGGGCCCAGCCCAGCACAACCCGGCAGCGCCGCGGCCUCCCUGGGCCCCGCAGUUGCGGGCGGCUUUUCGGAGUGUAGCCAGAUCGGGCGGGGAGUGAGGAGGUGACAUUUUGCUUAACAUAAUACGCCGUAAAUCCUGCGCCAGCGCUAGGACUGAGCGUGCAGCGCGGUGACCAGCUCGCCAUGAAAUGAAAACUGAGGACAAAACGUGCCUCCCCACAGCUGUCUCCAUAAACCUGCUCUCAAUGGCUCCUUCCUUGUUCCUUAAGCUAAAAGUAAGCCGGUUAAAGUUCAGAGGUUUCUCUGCCCAUGAGGGGAAGCUGAAACUCUGGGAACUUUGGAGCAGACUGCGUGGCUGGCACAGAAGAGAGCAGCACUCUCAGAAAUCCUUCAAAACUAUAAAUCAAUUGAAAGUACUAUUUUACUUCAAUUCUGUGCAGAAGAGGAGGAGGGGAAAAGGUGAAUUAAAAAAUCCUUGCUGGAAGCCACUUAAGUUUCAUAUGGCUGUUUGUCCUGUUUUUUUGGAGUGAGGGAGAAGAUGAGGGCAACGUUACUCCGUUUUAUGGCAGGAAAAGGACUGAAAGGUUCUGAAGACCUGGUCCUUCUUAAAGUUGUUGGGGGAUUUUCGAGAUUUGCUCAAGGCAGUGACACAUCUAGUUUCCAAAAUACAUGUAAGGGCUUCACUGUUGGCAUGGAAGAUGGCAACAAAGUUUCUAGAAAAAGGAGUAAGAGAAAGUUUUUUGAACCGAGGGACUAAUGGAUCACAGUGGGAUAAACGGAGAACUGUUUCUACUGAGUGUUUGGUCUAAAUAAUGUUUUUCUUGCAUAGUACUGGUUUGGAUGACUUUGUUUUGUCUGUGUUUAAGGCUGUGGUGCUGGUUUUCAGUGUCUCACGCUUUGUUGUGGUAUGAAAAGCAGCAUUUCCUCCCCUCGGCGGUGUCCUCCUGUUUUCUGUAAUAAACAAUACGAUGGGUUCAACACUGUUGAGUAUAAAUAAAACGGGUGACUCA